rnacentral:rRNA from 1 species
GACGUAGGGCGCGAGCGUUGUCCGGAUUUAUUGGGCGUAAAGAGCUCGUAGGCGGCUCGUUGCGUCGGCUGUGAAAACCCGCAGCUCAACUGUGGGCUUGCAGCUGAUACGGGCGGGCUGGGAUUCGGUAGGGGAGACUGGAAUUCCUGGUGUAGCGGUGAAAUGCGUAGAUAUCUGGAGGAACACCGGUGGCGAAGGCGGCAUCCUGGACCAACACUGACACUGAGGAGCGAAAGCCAGGGGAGCAAACGGGG